rnacentral:ncRNA from 1 species
AAUUUUUGAUGAGGCGCAUCAAUCAUGAGUAGCUAUAGAUAUUUGUCUGCAAACAAUCUAUAUCCAAAGGGUGCGAUGCCGAAAUAAACAGACUUUGCAGAAUCUGUUUAUUGGAUUCUAAGGUUAAGAGCUAAGAAUCUGUCAUUAUUCUAAUGAUAAUGGAGUGCAUCACUUGUA